UAUGUAAUUAUAAACACUUGGGUAGUAUUAGUUAUGUUCUUGAAACUUAAAAAAUUUGGCGGUAUUUUAGUCUAUUCAGAGGAACCUGUUUUAUAAUCGAUAAUCCACGUUGAAUCUUACUUAAUUUUGUUUAUCAGUUUGUAUACCGUCGUUAUUAGAAUAUUUUAUAAGAACAAUAAUUUUCAAUAAUUUUUAUUAUAAUCUAUAUCAGAUCAAGGUGCAGCUUAUAAUUAAGUAAUAAUGGGUUACAAUAAAAUUAUUUAUAUGAAUAAAAAUAUGAAAAAUUUUUUGAAAUUGGAUUUGAUAGUAAAAUUAUAAAGAUUAUUAAUUUGAUUUUAGCUCU
rnacentral:rRNA from 1 species